GUGGGCAGGCGACCAGGCACCGAAAGUUCCCCGGACGCCGCACACGCGACCUCCCCGAGGCCUGGCCGGCAAGUCCUCCACCCGGCGGGUCACGAUGGGGGGAAAGAGGGGACAGAAGUGGAAAGCAGAAGAGGGAGAGAUUUGCAGAGAAGAAAACAUAAUCAAUAAAACCUUGACAAAAGUGAACAUGUGAAAAAGACCAGAGAAUGGAAAAGCGAGAUAAAAGUGAUAUCCGAUCACAGAUUUCCGAGGCAGAUGACCAGCUCCUGCUGCUGAAGAAUCUCAAUGGGCCAUCGGCCUGGAGCCUCACUUUCCUUCCAUUUGCUACGACUCCUCAUUCAAGACAAUAGUAAAAGCACUAAAACUGUU